rnacentral:rRNA from 1 species
UCUCUCUGAAUCUGCGAACGGCUCCGCAAACCAGUUGUAAACUAUAGCAAGCAAGCUCGGGUCCAGCCCGCAAGGGCCAGGCUCGGGCGAUAUGGAUAACCCUGGUAAUUCUGAGGCUAAUACAAGAGCGUAACUCCUUGAUGACCGCUUCGGUGGGAUUCUGGGGGACGUGCGAUUGCAGCUUGGGUAGACCGGGAAAGGGCGCACGUUCAGACCGCGCUAAAAAGGAUCGGGACCUCCCUCGGGAGGACCUGGCCCCAGCGGCUCUUGCUGUGUGCUUCUGACCUAUCAACUAGACGGCAGCGUAAGGGACAUGCUAUGGUGACAACGGGUACAGAGGAUUAGGGUUCGAUCCUGGAGAGUGGGCCUGAGAGAUU